AGAGGUGCAUGAAAACAAAAGAAAGAAACAGAACAGAAUUUUUUUUUUUUCUUUUUUUCUUUCUUUUUUUCAUGAUUCUCGGGACCAAUCACGCAAUCACACAAAGAUAAAAAAAAAGAGGAAAGACAACGAAGCGCAACAGAAA
rnacentral:ribozyme from 1 species